rnacentral:rRNA from 1 species
AUGGCGAGGAACCCGGCCUGCAGCGUCUACGUAGGCAACUUGGAUGAGAAGGUCCCUGAAAGAGUCUUGUAUGAGAUUCUUAUUCAGGCCGGUCAUGUAGUAGACCUACACAUACCAUGUGACAAAGAAACUGGGCGUCCCAAAGGUUUUGCUUUUGCUGAGUAUGAGACAGAGGCAGUUGCUCAGUAUGCUGUUAGACUUUUUUCAGGACUUGUUAGGCUUAAUGGUAAAACACUUAAAUUUGCGCUUUCCGGACAAGACAAGCCGUCAUCAAAUGGCAAUAAUCCAGUAAUGCCUAAACUCAACCCUAUACCAUUACCAAAGCAGCCUCAGUUUGUGCAUUCUAGUGAUACACUUGUGUCGCAUAAACCAGCAUAUCCGGUGGUAAAUGGUGGGAUUCCACAUAAUGGUUUUUCACAAGGCUAUCAUCCUUACAAUGUUCACCCUCAAGCAUUACCACCUCGACCCGUGCAUGGGCACCGAGAGUUUGUCCAUGGUACGUAUGGUUACAACAGUCAUGUAUAUGGUUCUGUUCUGAAUGCUAGCUAUGGAGGUUAUGUUGUGAAUGCUGUUGGUCAUGGAGCUAUGAGGCAACCAAUUAUUUACCCAUCCUACUAG